GCCGCACUGGGAAGAUCAUAUUGCACUAGAAGUUUAUCUAUGUAGGUAAACCAACUGUCUGAAGUUUCUGAUUUUGUUGAAAUCUGUCUUCUAAGAAUUUUGUUUAAAGUUAAGUUUUCACUUCGAAUAAUACAUCCCAAAAGGUUCAAUUGUCUAAUAUGGAGCUCAGCCGUGGCAGGUCUAACACCAAGAAGCAGAUAAGUAAUGCCUUUAACUGAUCUAUUUGGUAAACACUGGAUUUUACGCAGGAAAUUAA
rnacentral:lncRNA from 1 species